UGGGGAAUUUUGGACAAUGGGCGAAAGCCUGAUCCAGCAAUGCCGCGUGUGUGAAGAAGGCCUUCGGGUUGUAAAGCACUUUUGUCCGGAAAGAAAUCCUUGGCUCUAAUACAGUCGGGGGAUGACGGUACCGGAAGAAUAAGCACCGGCUAACUACGUGCCAGCAGCCGCGGUAAUACGUAGGGUGCAAGCGUUAAUCGGAAUUACUGGGCGUAAAGCGUGCGCAGGCGGUUUGCUAAGACCGAUGUGAAAUCCCCGGGCUCAACCUGGGAACUGCAUUGGUGACUGGCAGGCUAGAGUAUGGCAGGAGGGGGGUAGAAUUCCACGUGUAGCAGUGAAAUGCGUAGAGAUGUGGAGGAAUACCGAUGGCGAAGGCAGCCCCCUGGGCCAAUACUGACGCUCAUGCACGAAAGCGUGGGGAGCAAACAGGAUUCAGAUACCCUGGUAGUCCACGCCCUAAACGAUGUCAACUAGUUGUUGGGAUUCAUUUCUUAGUAACGUAGCUAACGCGUGAAGUUGACCGCCUGGGGAGUACGGUCGCAAGAUU
rnacentral:rRNA from 1 species